AUUGAACGCUGGCGGCAUGCUUUACACAUGCAAGUCGAACGGUAACAGGCCGCAAGGUGCUGACGAGUGGCGAACGGGUGAGUAAUGCAUCGGAACGUGCCCAGUCGUGGGGGAUAACGCAGCGAAAGCUGCGCUAAUACCGCAUACGAUCUAUGGAUGAAAGCGGGGGACCGUAAGGCCUCGCGCGAUUGGAGCGGCCGAUGUCAGAUUAGGUAGUUGGUGGGGUAAAGGCUCACCAAGCCAACGAUCUGUAGCUGGUCUGAGAGGACGACCAGCCACACUGGGACUGAGACAUGGCCCAGACUCCUACGGGAGGCAGCAGUGGGGAAUUUUGGACAAUGGGGGCAACCCUGAUCCAGCAAUGCCGCGUGCAGGAAGAAGGCCUUCGGGUUGUAAACUGCUUUUGUACGGAACGAAACGGUCUGGGUUAAUACCCUGGGCUAAUGACGGUACCGUAAGAAUAAGCACCGGCUAACUACGUGCCAGCAGCCGCGGUAACAC
rnacentral:rRNA from 1 species